GCAGCAGCUAAGGUGGCAGACUCCCUAAAGUGGCAUUGGUGCUUUCCCUAUACUUAUUCAGAAGUCAUACCAAAAUCCAAACGUUUGCCACAAAAACUGCACUUGACUUACACACAAGCACAUACAGGUAAAGAAGCAGCCUUUUUUCUACAGCAUUCAAAGUUCUGGAAAUCUCUGUCCCACAACAGACACUGUUUGCAAAGGAGACACUGAAUCGGACUCCAGCCGGUGUCUGUUGAAGUUGCUAUGUGGGGGGAUUUACUAGCUAAUCACUGAUUUAUUUAAUGAGCAGAGUGGUGAAGUGUAGGACCAUGUUUCAUAUAAAUAAUGUGAUCAAUAAUAGCUGCUCCUCUGCUCCCAUCCCUAACUCAUCCUUGUUAGAAAUAAAUUUGCAGUGUGAGCUGAAAGCAUAUCAUUUUUUCCCUCUUUUUUGGCCAAGAUUAUUGUGCUAGUGGGUUCGUGUACUGCUCUGUCAUUCAUUGGUAAGAGAUUAACAGAGAGAAGAAGUCAUGUGGUGGUGGCAGCAUUUUGAUGAAGCACAUUAUUUAAUUUUGAAGGAAAUAAUUUAACUUGACUGGACUUAAGGGAUUUGAAACAAUUCUGCCUACCAGAUGUAAGCUGAUCUUUUCCCCUCUUGACUGAUAAAACCUAGCAUAUGUAGAUUGACCAAAGGGGUAGCAAAUGCCUUGUUAUGUCAGAGAGAAGUGCUUGUUGUCUUGAAGAAGUGUCUGGGGUGCCUUUUCCUAAGGAGAUCCUUCCUGAAACAAGAUGUGUAUGAGAAUUACCACCAGACUGCAAAUAUAUCCCUUUUGGGCAAGUUGUUUGGGUGUGGAGUAUAUGGGCAAUUUCAAGCAUAACUGGAGGAAACAGCUUGUCUGGAUCCCUUUCAGACUGAUGCCAGGCUGGAGUGUAACAAAGGUACUCCAUUUGACAAAAGACUCUGAGAAAAUAACAGGAGAAAGACUACCCUGUUGAUCUUCCUGGGUCUCCCUAUGUUUUUUUACACCAUUGAUCAAGGUACCUUGUUGAAUCAUCUCUGUUGGAAGGGAGUGGGAGGCGCUGUUCCAUGGCAAGCAUACUUGCAUACUUAAUUACAAGAAUACAGAUCCAAACAUGCACUCAUAUUAAUACAAUCCCUUUAUCUACAGAUGAUAUGUUCCAAAAUCCCACCAUGGAUACCUAAAACCAUGGAUAAUAUUAUAAUAACAACCCCUAUUAUAGAUAUAGAGAUAGAUAGAUAGAUAGAUAGAUAGAUAGAUAGAUAGAUAGAUAGAUAGAUAGAAUUUUUUUUCUAUACAUGGACUGGAAAAUACAAUAGAUUUGCACUGGAGAACCUAGAAAGGCCCAUAAACUUUCCGUGUGGGGGAUUUAAUGGAGUGUGGGUAAGUGAAUCCAUGGAUUUCACAUCCAUAUAUAAGGGGGUCUUAUUGCAUCUGAAAGUAAGUCGCAGUGUUCUUAAGAACUAUAUGUGCCCAUAAUGAGUAGGAUUACAAUGUCAAAAUAGAAGAGUGAUGGAAAGCUAGUCAUUGAUCAUGUGUGCAAAGUUGAAUUGAGAAUGUUAAUUUGCAACACCAGAACCAGCUUCACCUCCCUAAAGCUUUGUGUGGCUUUUGUUUCAAAUCAUAAAGCAGGAAAAAGAAAAACUGUUUGUUCAUAAACCCAUACAAGUCAAUUUUUAAAAAUGCCUGAAGGCAGGAGAACAGAUGAGAUCCCCAACCGGGCCUUUAUAACAUCCCUUUCUCUUCUUGUUGAUGCAAGUCAAUGGCGUGGAGGCAGGCCCUGCCAAGUCUUGAGUGGGGAGGGGAAAGUAAGGCCUCCCUGUGGCUGUCCCUCCAGUAUCAAUGAAUCUUUCAUGCCCAGCAUUGAAAGAGCAGAACCCCUUAUCACAAAGCAACUUUUUCUCCCAAAUCUCUAUGUCUAGGGAAAAGCUCUAAAAGAUCUCAUCCACUCUUUACUCUGGGUUUUCUCCCACACUUAUUUGUGAAAUCUGGACUGCAGCUUUUAGCUAAGUUUAAGCCAGAAGCUUAGAAUGAAAUGAAUUUCCCUGGGAAGACCUAAUGCCAGAAUGGGAACUGUGUGGUGCUACAGAGGUUGUUGAAUUGAAAAUCUCAGAAUUUCUCCGUGUAGGCAGCUAAAAAUUAUAUUAGCUUCUUCUAGAUGGGUUCACAAAUUCCACCUUUGGUCCAAGACUGAGGUGAGGUGAAGGUUUCUUGGUUGUUCUGUUGUUGUAUAGAAUACAUUUUUUUCUCAGUUAAACCAAGGUGGAUUGGGGGAAUUUUUCUUUCUCUAGAAUCCCCUAGAGGCCAUACAGACUGUGUUAUGGUUGAGCCUUAUGGCUCCGAUACUGGCAGACGUGGUCGUAAGACUCCUCGGGAGUCAGAUACUCUCGAGGAGCGAGAAAGGAAGCGGCUGCGGGACUUAUUUGCAGAACCAUCUGACGAGGAUUCCUUUGAGGGUUUUACUGAGAGAAUGGAGGAAGAGAUGGUUAGCUCAGAGGAGGAUGACAUGGAAUGGACUCGUGUGAGGGAGGAUUUGGGUGCCACUGGCAAUGAUAGUAUGGAAGGCGAUUGGGGACCUUCAGGAUUAGACCCGUGGACAAGCUGGAGGGAUGGGACGGGAUCCACAGCUGGGGAUGCUGUGGGGCGUAGUCAAAGGUGUUUCAGUUCUGAUGAGGAAAGUGAUGAGGAAACGCCUGGAAUUAGGGUAACAGCUGAUAGUGAUGAGGAGCUGUAAACUGGCAUAAAAUGGGGUUUGGAAGCAAUGGCUAAUUGCGUUGGGCAAGGUAAUCUGGACGAACGCUUGGGCUCUGUGUGGGAAAUUCCUGAAGACGGGUGUGAUUCGUUUGCUGACUACCUUGGACCUCCGUCGUCUUCUUGACGGACGCCAUCUGUUUAUUCUGGACUGACUGACUGACUGACUACGGCCUCGGACUCUCCUUCCUGUGAUUAUCGUUGGACCUGGUGAACUACAAACGUCUGUACCUGCCUUACGACCUUCGGACCGGAUUGGAACUUCACUGACCGCUUCUGCCCUUGAAUGCUGCGUUUGUAUCUGGAAAUUGCUUGCUGUGUGGAGGAGUAACCUCUUAGUUACUCAAAUAUAGCUUUUGGCAGCAGAGAAGCAUCUGCUGCCAGUUUUUUGUAUUCCUUUGAACCUUUUGUUCACCAGCUUUUGUUUGUUUUAGUCCCAGGCUGAAGUAAGCUUUUUUGGUUUAACCCGGAUUAAACUCCGGUUUAAUCCGGUUUAUCUUUUGAACGUUUUCCUUGUGUCUUUUUACUUUUAAGGCCAAUGUUUGCCUAGCCCUUGUCUUUUACGGGCAUUUUUGGUUCUGUAACUCCAAUAAACUUUGUUAUAUCUUA